AAACCAUGAUUUGGCGACCUCACCAAAUAUAGCUUGAAUCGAUCCCAUGCCUCAUGUAGAUGUUCUCCCGGUAAUUGCUUGAAAAAGAAAAUUUUAUUUCGGAGCUC
rfam:Nicotiana attenuata strain TT chromosome 7, whole genome shotgun sequence.